GAAUCAAACACACAGCAGGGUAUCCCGUGAGUACACACUUAUUCUAUAAAAUAUGUACACAUCUUGAUAAAACUUUUUUUUGUAUAUGUAACUUUCAAAUGCUUACAUUUUGUUCCUUUGCUAGAUCCCACUGUGUAUAAAAACCUGUAUCUCUAAGGAGAACAAGUGUCAAGUUUAUAACUUUCUUCACCAGGAUAUACCUGAAAGUGAACUUGCCAUCAUCCACAAAGCCGCUCCCAAAUGUGCAGUCCAAAAGGUGCCACUUUCCAUCAAUGUAAACAGCAUUCCAGCACAGGGAGAAGAAAUGAACCAUUUCCAUGUCACAGCUGCAGCUUCUUGCUGGCCAUGGAGUGAUCUGCAUGUUCCCAACCAUCACAGUCACGUCUGCCGAGGUCAGUAUGCGGCAUGCACAUGACCUCUAAGGCAGGAGUAGCC